rnacentral:rRNA from 1 species
GCUUAACCGGAGAAGUGCAUCGGAAACUGAUAAACUUGAGUGCAGAAAAGGAUAGUGGAACUUCAUGUGUAGCGGUGAAAUGCGUAGAUAUAUGAAGGAACACCAGUGGCGAAGGCGGCUAUCUGGUCUGUAACUGACGCUGAGGCUCGAAAGCAUGGGUAGCAAACAGGAUUAGAUACCCUGGUAGUCCAUGCCGUAAACGAUGAAUGCUAGGUGUUGGAAGGUUUCCGCCUUUCAGUGCCGCAGCUAACGCAUUAAGCAUUCCGCCUGGGGAGUACGACCGCAAGGUUGAAACUCAAAGGAAUUGACGGGGACCCGCACAAGCGGUGGAGCAUGUGGUUUAAUUCGAUGCUACGCGAAGAACCUUACCAGGACUUGACAUCUUCUGCCAAUCUAAGAGAUUAGACGUUCCCUUCGGGGACAGAAUGACAGGUGGUGCAUGGUUGUCGUCAGCUCGUGUCGUGAGAUGUUGGGUUAAGUCCCGCAACGAGCGCAACCCUUGUCUUUAGUUGCCAGCAUUAAGUUGGGCACUCUAGAGAGACUGCCGGUGAUAAACCGGAGGAAGGUGGGGAUGACGUCAAAUCAUCAUGCCCCUUAUGUCCUGGGCUACACACGUGCUACAAUGGGCGAUACAACG